ncrna:unclassified sequences skipping-rope RNA
CGCAGUGGAGGGCAGAAAGGCAAUCUGCCGCCCGGAAGCGAGACCGCAAAUACUCGCAUUGUUGGAGAUGCCGGAGCGCCGACCGGCUCACUGCG